AACCUUAUGGACCUGCGGGCGUAUACCUGCGGAAGGAUCAUUAAAAAGAGUGUGUACCCCCCUGUAAAAUGGGUGGGUUACCUCCCGUCCUUUGUUGACCUCUUAGGAGGUUAUUUUGAACUUUUCUGCUUCGGUGGGGUUAAACCUACCGGAACACCCUCAAAUUCUGAUCAUUUAAAAAUUGUUCAGUCCGAUUUUUGUUAAUAAAAACAAAAAACUUUCAACAACGGAUCUCAGAUC
rnacentral:misc_RNA from 1 species